GUGAGGGAGAAGAUAGAAAUUCGAGCGUUCGUUUAAUCGGCGUAGGAUGAUAACAGCACAAAUUCGCGUACGCCAUAUUGGCUGCCGUCCUUUCUCUAAUUCCUUUGAAAAUGUUCGAAUUGUUUGACGUUUUUAAUGUUCCUUGCGUUCAUUAUGAGCGUCAAAGGGUUAUUUAUUCGUUGUUCUUUCAUCUUCCGUGUUGAUAUAUUCCAACGAUUUUGAUUUUGAUUAUUACGCGCGUGCGCGCGCGCGUGUAUUUAUGUACGUGCGUAUGUGUGUGCAGUGUUGAGUUAGUGUGCUUGUAAAGUGUAGAAGUAGUGUGUCAGUUGGACGAUUUCUCUCUCUCUCUUUCUCUCUUUCUAUUUCUUUCUACCUCUGUCUCUCUCUCUCUCUCUCUCUCUUUCUCUCUUACAUUUCUUCCAUCGUUUCUCUCUUUCUGUGUCUUUCUCUGUCUCUUUGUCUCCGUAUCUGUCUAUCUCUCUUCUAUUCAUUCCCAUUUAUCGUUUUUGGAAAUGACUCGAUCGGAUAUGAACGUCGACCGCGGUAUUAGCAACAGGAGGUCCCUAGUCAGCGUUGGAAAAUAUCAAAUGAUUCGUGUUCUUGGAAAAGGGAAUUUCGCACGUGUGGAGGAAGCUAUUCACACAAUUUUAAGGACCAAGGUGGCAGUGAAGAUAAUCGAUACCCAACAUGGCCGGCAGGAUUACGUAAUGAAGAAUUUAACUCGUGAGGCUAAGCUAUUAUCGAUGUUGCAACAUCCGAGUAUCGUUAGACUCUACGAAACGAUUCAGUACGGAUCUGUGUACUACCUCGUGAUGGAACUUGCAACCGGUGGCGACCUGUGCACCCAUAUUAAGCAACAACCAAGCGGCAUGCUCGAUGAGAUGACCGCCAAGCUCUAUACCAGACAGCUGGUCGGUGCGUUGAAACACAUGCACUCCAGGGGAAUCGUUCAUCGCGAUUUAAAGAUGGAAAAUAUAAUGCUGCAAGAUACGCGGAAAGAUCAAAUCAAGAUAGUUGAUUUUGGAUUGAGUAAUAUCUACGAUAGCGAAGAUCCUUUGAAAACUCAUUGUGGAUCACCUGAAUACGCAGCACCAGAGCUUUUUGUCGUCGGUAAAAAAUACGGACCCGAGGUCGAUCUUUGGAGUCUUGGUGUCGUCUUAUACGGAAUGAUGACCGGUCGGCUGCCCUUUUUAAGUCCUUGCGACGAACAGACGUCAUCGGAGGAACGUCGGCGAAGGUUAAUGGCUCAAAUAAACCGGGGUGUAACGGCCCUACAAAUGAAAAACAUGUCGAGGAUGUCGAAUGAUUGCAAGAAUCUGAUUAACAGAUUGCUUACGCCCGUUCCACAUAAAAGGAUCACGAUCCAGGAACUUUGCCAUCAUCCUUGGAUCGUUUGCAAGCUUAGGAAUGUAUCAAGAAUUGCAAGUGAGGCUGAUUUGGACGUGAACGAUCAAAAGACGAUAAUCGCUGAGAUAUCCAAGAUGACUCACCUGGAUCGGAAUACGAUCGAGAUGGAAAUUAUUCGACGAAAGUACGGCGAAAUAGGCGGCAUGUAUAAUAUCAAAUCGCACAAGGCACGUCAAGCUGCUGCUAUGUACGCACGUCACACAGGAUCAUUCUCAUUGCUCAGAUAUAUACCGUCGCAGUACAUGAAACAAUCGUAUUCGACAACUACGUCUAUGAGAACAGCAACAGUCGGUGGGACAACGACGACCUACAAAAUACCAUCGAGAUAUUCACCUUAUACAAAGUCCGAGGAGAAAUCGACUGGAUAUGUUUGUGCAGUAACUCCGUUCAAAGAGAAUAAAAAAUGUUGGGACAAUAAAAGCGUGUCAUUCGGUGAUGUUAAAAAUUCUACGAAACUUCAGAAAUAUUCGAAUACGUCCUGUACGACUUGCAAAAAUGUUUUUUUACCAUUGUCGAAUCCACAACAACCGCAAGUUUUUAAGAAGAAUGAAUUCGUUGAACACGCGAUACCAAUGCACAACAAGUACUCCGACAAAAGGUAAUGAUAGUGAGAGCUAUAAUCAAUCGAAUGAUAAGGGAUAAAAAGAAACCUUUAUAUGAUUUUCCCCUUCCACUCUUCCCUCUCUCUCUCUCUCUCUCUCUCUCUUUCUCUCUCUCUCUCUCUCUCUCUCUCUCUCUCUCUCUCUCUCUCUUUCUCUCUUUUUCAUCCAUCUCUCUGUCCUUCAGUAAUGAACAGAAGCAAACGAGCAGAUUGGCCGUUCGUCAAACGAAUAUCCGUUUAUUGCCUACCUCUUCAAGAAUUUCUUUUUCUCAAGCAUCUUCCAGUUCUCCUCAAUCCGACGUAGUACAUCGUAAUCCUAUCAAGAGAUGGUCUGAAAUACGUGAAAAGAGAGAAACGAUUCGACAACAAAGACGUUCGACACAUUCCGUAAAUCAAACCGAUACGAAUACGAUCUCAUCAACGUCCUCGGUAAACAGAACUCGACCGCGUACUUCAGAAUCCAACGCCAUAAAUCGUAAUGCAUUUAAUCGUUGUAAAUUUACAAUGGAAAAAUUAGAGUCCCAAAGGGAAGUCGAUAAAAUUGUAACUUCGGUGCCAAUAUUUGUUAAGAAAAAGAUAAUAUCUGCUUACGAUACAAUAGCACCGAAAUAUCUUUUGCGCAAUAAUUCUUCGAAUAAAAGUGCAUCCAAGUUAAAUGACAAAGUAAGAUAACUAAAGGAUGAACAAUAGAAUUAUUAUAACACGAGCUCGGAUAUUUUUUUCGUUCCUUUUGAUUAAGAAGAAAAAAAACAAAAAAAAACCAAAAAAAAAACCAAAAAAAAAACCAAAAAAAAAAGAACAUCGAUUUAAUUAGAAAAUUAAAAGUUGCUUAUAAGUCUUUUAAUAAAGUUCUAAAAUAUUUUACAUAUUAUGUAUUUCGAGACAAUUUUAGGACGUACAAUAAAAUGAUCUCUUUUUUUUCCUUCUUUUCCUUUUUCUCUAAAAAUUAAACACAAA